CGAAUCGUCCUACCUUUUCCCUAUCAGCAACAGAACGAAAGGAAGGUGAUCCAAUGUCUAAUGAGAUUUCGGACCUCGUAUCGGGCAUGGAAGUGGUGAUGAAAGCGAGGCAGCCCUCGCUCUAAAACCCGCCUUCCUGGGGCUGCUUUGACAGUCCAGGCCAGUUCGAGUGCCAAACUCAUGGAAAGGGUCGCCGAGGCGGCCCUUUUUU
rnacentral:sRNA from 1 species